GACGAACGCUGGCGGCGUGCUUAACACAUGCAAGUCGAACGGAAAGGCCCUGCUUUUGUGGGGUGCUCGAGUGGCGAACGUGUGAGUAAUACGUGAGUAACCUGCCCUUGACUUUGGGAUAACUUCAGGAAACUGGGGCUAAUACCGGAUAGGAGCUCCUGCUGCAUGGUGGGGGUUGGAAAGUUUCGGCGGUUGGGGAUGGACUUGCGGCUUAUCAGCUUGUUGGUGGGGUAGUGGCUUACCAAGGCUUUGACGGGUAGCCGGCCUGAAAGGGUGACCGGCCACAUUGGGACUGAGAUGCGGCACAGACACCAACGGGAGGCAGCAGUAGGGAAUAUUGCACAAUGGACGGAAGCCUGAUGCAACAACGCCGCGUGCGAGAUAACGGCCUUCGGGUUGUAAACCGCUUUCGCCUGUGACGAAGCGUGAGUGACGGUAAUGGGUAAAGAAGCACCGGAUAACUACGUG
rnacentral:rRNA from 1 species